UACAGAGGUCUCAAGCGUUGUCCGGAUUUAUUGGGCGUAAAGCGCGUGUAGGCGGCCAGAAAAGUCCGCUGUGAAAACUCGAGGCUCAACUUCGAGCUGUCGGUGGAAACUUUCUGGCUAGAGUCCGGAAGAGGAGAAUGGAAUUCCUGGUGUAGCGGUGAAAUGCGCAGAUAUCAGGAAGAACACCCGUGGCGAAGGCGGUUCUCUGGGACGGUACUGACGCUGAGACGCGAAAGCGUGGGGAGCGAACAGG
rnacentral:rRNA from 1 species